rnacentral:lncRNA from 1 species
UGCUGAUUUUGCUUAACCAGCUCUCAAGUAGCUGUCAACAGAGAGCACUAAGGAUUGCAAGGCUGCACUCAGACUAACACAGUCUGAAUGAAUGGCUUCACGAACAGCCGUUGGGAUGCUUUGCCAGUGCCUUCCCCGGCUCAAGGACAUUUGACAGAGUAGACAGCUUUGUUCUUUCCCGUUUUACCAGGUGGGUGCGUCAUGGGCAUGCUGAUUUCAGAUGCCCGUCCCUGGAGUAACUUGGCUUCUCCGAGUAGUAGGCUUAGAGAGGCUUGGGUGGUUGGCAUGUAGCCACAGUUUUAGGGCACCGAUUAGAGGUGUGGGCAGGGGUGGACAAGGUAGGAUAAGGUUCCUCCAGGUACUGUACCCGUAGACUUUGUACAAGAGGAGCACACCCAAGUUAAGCGAGUUGCUGACUCCGAUGCCACAGUAUCAUCAUCUGCUGUAUCUCUCUCUUAAACAUAAAAUUAUUAUUAUUAUUAUUAUUAUUAUUAUUAUUAUUAUUAUUAUUUUCCUCUGCAUUUUGUCUUAUUUCUGCAUUAAGAUUGAAGCAGCUGACUCUUUAAAAGUUCCCUCCUUCUGCAAAAGGCGGAAGGCGGGCCCCUGCACCUAGGCAACCAGCGUCCAAUCAAAAGUGCGCACUGGUGCUCCCACUUGGAGUUUAUUUGUAAGCAAAUACCACUCACUCUCAAGCGGCAUGGUCCUAUUGGAUUACUUCGGUUAUAACGCAGAGUGCAGACUGAUGUGCAGCAACAGACUAAGCCUAGAUACAUGACAGGGGUGAAAACUUUAAACAGCUGAUUAUGUCUUCCCGAAAUGGCGUACUGCUGCGUAAUGGCUUACUUUCACCUCCAGGUGAGAGAAAGACCCGCAGAUUAAGCAGGAAAAAGCUUGAUGCUCGGUGAAUUGUUAACUGAUUAGAGCCAGGUCGACUACGGACUGAUCAAGUCUUUGGCUGAAUCUUUGAAUGUACUUAGCAGCUUUGCUGAAAAUGAUUUGUAAUGUUCCUAGAAUAAUGAUCCUCCCUAUGUCAUGGCUGAAUCAGAAAUAAUGGCGAGAUAUGUGUCCAGUUCAGUUCUGCGUGCUGAAAACACUUUACAUAUGACAUCUACAAAUACGCUGAAAGCUAUGAAUUCAGCCAAGGUCGGAGAUUUAAACAGCCGGGCAUCACGAUAUUUAAGCAUCACAGGCUCAUCUCCGCAAUCCACAAUGCGUCUAUCAUUGUAGUCUGAGCACAGCAAGACUAAUGUCAGUACCUGCAAGGAUUUGGCUCCGCGGAUUAGGUGUAAUUGCAGCCGCGACCAGGUCGCGUCGCGUGGUGCUCUGGUGUGUUCACACCGGGUCCAAAGCUGCGGUCGCAGGACACGGCUGGUCGCUGCUGACCCGCUUCUCCUACCUUCCAUCUCCCUCCUUUUCUCCCUCAUAUAUACAUCCCGCAGCCCAGUUCAAAUAUUUGAACUUUGGUAGCGACGAGACUUGGCGUCCUGCGACCUCGGAAACGCAACUUCGGCAACGCGACGCAGGUAGCCAGCGGUCGCCAAGUCGCGUCAGGUCGCGGCUGUCCAUAGACUUUGCAUUGGGAGCCAUCGCCGACGUCACCGAAGUCGCGUUUGGUCUGAACACCCCUUAACGCUAAGCUUCAUAUUUGGGUAUUGGUUGACUUGAGUUUCUGUGUUUGUUGAACUUGAGUUUGUGACAUGUUUGAACUUGAAUUUGUGGUGUUUUUGAACUUGAGUUUGUGUGUUUGUUGAACUUGAGUUUUAGGCGUGUUUGAACUUGAGUUUGUGUUGUUUUUGAACUUGAGGUUUUGGCAAAUGUUAAACUUGAGAUUUGGGUGUUGGUUGAACUUGAGUUUGUGUCGUAAUUGAACUUGAUUUUUUUGCAAUUUUUGAACUUGAGUUUGUUGAACUUGAGGUUGUGGAAAUUGUUAAACUUGAGAAUUGGGUAUUGAUUGAACUUGAGUUUGUGUGUUUGUUGAACUUGAGUUUGUCUCGUGUUUGAACUUGAGUUUCUGUUGUUUUUGAACUUGAGGUUGUGGCAAUUGUUAAACUUGAGAUUUGGGUGUUGGUUGAACUUGAGUUUGUGUCAUGUUUGAACUUGAGUUUGUGGUGUUUUUGAACUUGAGUAUGUGUGGUUUUUUAACUUAGUUUUGUGGCAAUUGUUAAAC